GGCGGGGUAGCUCAGGUGGUUAGAGCAGCGGAAUCAUAAUCCGCGUGUCGGGGGUUCGAGUCCCUCUCCCGCUACCA
rnacentral:tRNA from 58 species